rnacentral:rRNA from 1 species
GACGAACGCCGGCGGCGUGCUUAACACAUGCAAGUCGAGCGGUAAGGCCCUUUCGGGGGUACACGAGCGGCGAACGGGUGAGUAACACGUGGGUGACCUGCCCUUAGCUCUGGGAUAAGCCUGGGAAACUGGGUCUAAUACCGGAUAUGACUCCAUGACGCAUGUUGUGGGGUGGAAAGCCUUGUGCGGCUAGGGAUGGGCCCGCGGCCUAUCAGCUUGUUGGUGGGGUGAUGGCCUACCAAGGCGACGACGGGUAGCCGGCCUGAGAGGGCGACCGGCCACACUGGGACUGAGACACGGCCCAGACUCCUACGGGAGGCAGCAGUGGGGAAUCUUGCGCAAUGGGCGAAAGCCUGACGCAGCGACGCCGCGUGAGGGAUGACGGCCUCGGUU